AAAAGACACAGAAUGUCUGAAACAAUCUUUAGUUCAGAAAGUGUGUCCUCAAGGAUGGAAGAAGCUUGGUAGCAGUUGUUACUACGUCUCUACUGAGUACAAAUCCUGGGAGGAGAGCAGACAGGACUGCAGAAAUAGAGGAGCAGACCUGGUGGUUAUCAAAAGCGAAGACGAUCAGACAUUUGUCAAUUGGUUAUGCGGGGUAAAGAACUAUGUCUGGGUUGGUCUGACUGACUCUGUUACUGAGGGGACCUGGAAAUGGGUGGACGACACACCACUG